CACGGCCCUGUUUUCCUGUUGUCGUAGCCCAGGGUUGCCUUCUCUAUAAACUAUGUGUGACUGCAGCUGAAUCAGUGAAGCCAUCACCACCGGCCUCAUGCAUCACUGUCCUGUGGACCUAGAUCAGGCCACCUGGGAGAGCCACUUCUGUCCACCCAUCCCUGAGGGGAUGCUUCUCCGUCCCUUCUGCAUGCCUCCUGCACUCGGUGGCUGUGCUCUGGGAGAGUUACCCUGCGAUCUACACUUUCGGCUGCACCACCCUCUGCAGUGAAGAGUGUCUAAGGUUUCCCUACUGCACAGAACACUCGAGAUCCGUGGUGUGACAGGAAGAGCUUUCCAGCUGCGUGGCCUUGGGCCGUCUUACUCUCUGGGCCUCAGUUUCCUCAUUGGUAGCAUGGAGCACUGAAAGCUACGAACAGGAGCUGUGAGGGUGAAUGGAGGAUUCAUGCCAGAGCCUGGUGGGAUGCCCCUGCAGAGCAGAUGCUCAGGAAACCCUCCUGCCAGCUCCUGGGGAGCACGGGAGGCGCUGGCUCCUUAGUUCUCUAUGGAAGGACGGUUCUGCACCAGAUAUUAUUAUUAGAGUCUCUUAUUUGGAAUUCUGGACUUGUGUGCUCGACAGGGGCCUCAAGUCCCCAGUGUCGCUCAAUAGUGACAAACCCAAAUAAAAGAUCCUGGCAAAUGAUUAGCAGCCUUUCCUGCUGCUGUGCUCAUAAACGCUGUUGCUAUUUUUGGGCCAGCAUUGUUCAACCUGGAUUUAGUUCUCCUUUGCUGUCUAUUUUGGCUCUGACCUGCUCUGAAAGGGCAGGCUCCACGCCGGGUGUCACGCCCAAUGGCUUCUCCACGGUCUUUGUCCAAAUGGACUCAGUGAGGAUAUCACCAGCGGAAAAGUAAAAGAUGAGAGGACUUGAAAAAAAUAUCUUCCAUUCAGAAUCUUUUUAAAAAUAUACUUUCAAACAAAGAGG